UGGGCGUAGCUCAGUUGGUAGAGCCCCGGAUGGUCGCAGGUUCAAAUCCUGUCUCACCGACCA
rnacentral:tRNA from 2 species